rnacentral:rRNA from 1 species
UAAUGCUGAGGCGUGAUGGGGAAGGCCCUUGAGGCUGAAGUACAUGAUUCCAUGCUUCCAAGAAAAGCAUCUAGAGAGAGAAGUAGUGCCCGUACCGCAAACCGACACAGGUAGAUGAGGGGAGAAUCCUAAGGCCGGCGGAAGAAUUGCAGUUAAGGAACUAGGCAAAUUGACCCCGUAAGUUAGCGAGAAGGGGUGCCUGCGAGAGCAGGCCGCAGAGAAUAGGCCCAAGCAACUGUUUAGCAAAAACACAGGUCUCUGCUAAAGCGCAAGCUGAUGUAUAGGGGCUGACGCCUGCCCGGUGCUGGAAGGUUAAGGGGAACACUUAGCGCAAGCGAAGGUGUGAACUUAAGCCCCAGUAAACGGCGGCCGUAACAAUAACGGUCCUAAGGUAGCGAAAUUCCUUGUCAGGUAAGUUCUGACCCGCACGAAUGGCGUAAUGACUUGGGCACUGUCUCAACUGCAAAUCCGGCGAAGUUGUAGUGCGAGUGAAGAUGCUCGCUACCCGCGAUUGGACGGAAAGACCCCGUAGAGCUUUACUGUAGCUUAGCAUUGAAUUCCGGUAUUGUCUGUACAGGAUAGGUGGGAGACUGGGAAACUAGGGCGUCAGCCUUGGUGGAGUCGUCCUUGGGAUACCACCCUGACAGUACUGGGGUUCUAACAGGACGCCAUGAAUCUGGUGACUGGACAUUGUUAGGUGGGCAGUUUGACUGGGGCGGUCGCCUCCUAAAAAGUAACGGAGGCGCCCAAAGGUUCCCUCAGAACGGUCGGAAAUCGUUCGUAGAGUGCAAAGGCAGAAGGGAGCCUGACUGCGAGACCUACAAGUCGAGCAAGGACGAAAGUCGGGCUUAGUGAUCCGGUGGUACCUCGUGGGAGGGCCAUCGCUCAACGGAUAAAAGCUACCUCGGGGAUAACAGGCUGAUCUCCCCCAAGAGUCCACAUCGACGGGGAGGUUUGGCACCUCGAUGUCGGCUCGUCGCAUCCUGGGGCUGUAGUAGGUCCCAAGGGUUGGGCUGUUCGCCCAUUAAAGCGGCACGCGAGCUGGGUUCAGAACGUCGUGAGACAGUUCGGUCCCUAUCCGUCGCGGGCGUAGGAAAUUUGAGAGGAGCUGUCCUUAGUACGAGAGGACCGGGAUGGACUGACCUCUGGUGCACCAGUUGUUCUGCCAAGAGCAUGGCUGGGUAGCUAAGUCGGGAAGGGGUAAACGCUGAAAGCAUCUAAGCGUGAAGCCUCCCUCAAGAUGAGAUUUCCCAUAGCAUAAGCUAGUAAGACCCCUUGAAGAACACGAGGUUGAUAGGUCAGAGGUGUAAGUGUGGUAACAUAUUUAGCUGACUGAUACUAAUAGGUCGAGGGCUUGACCAA